rnacentral:rRNA from 1 species
GGAUCCAGACUUUGAUCCUGGCUCAGGAUGAACGCUGGCGGCGUGCCUAACACAUGCAAGUCGAACGAAGAUGCAUUUCAGAUCCCUUCGGGGUGACGAGAUGCAGACUUAGUGGCGGACGGGUGAGUAAUGUAUGAGCAACCUGCCUUCAAGAGGGGAAUAACAGUCGGAAACGACUGCUAAUACCGCAUAAUAAAGCGUAGUCGCAUGACAAUGCUUUCAAAGGAGCAAUCCGCUUGAAGAUGGGCUCAUAUCUGAUUAGAUAGUUGGUGAGGUAACGGCUCACCAAGUCUGCGAUCAGUAGCCGGACUGAGAGGUUGAACGGCCACAUUGGAACUGAGAUACGGUCCAGACUCCUACGGGAGGCAGCAGUGGGGAAUAUUGGGCAAUGGGCGAAAGCCUGACCCAGCAACGCCGCGUGAAGGAAGAAGGUCUUCGGAUUGUAAACUUUUGUCUUACGGGACGAUAAUGACGGUACCAUAGGAGGAAGCCACGACUAACUACGUGCCAGCAGUCGCGGUAAUACGUAGGUGGCGAGCGUUAUCCGGAAUUAUUGGGUGUAAAGGGUGCGUAGGCGGGUCGUAGAGUCAGAUGUGAAAUGCGGAGGCUCAACCUCCGAACUGCAUUUGAAACUUACGAUCUUGAGUGGAGUAGAGGCAAGCGGAAUUCCCGGUGUAGCGGUGAAAUGCAUAGAUAUCGGGAGGAACACCAGUGGCGAAGGCGGCUUGCUGGGCUUUUACUGACGCUGAGGCACGAAAGUGUGGGGAGCAAACAGGAUUAGAUACCCUGGUAGUCCACACCGUAAACGAUGAUUACUAGGUGUAGGCCGGCUGAACCGGUCUGUGCCGCAGUUAACACAAUAAGUAAUCCACCUGGGGAGUACGGCCGCAAGGUUGCAACUCAAAUGAAUUGACGG